CCCAGACUCAUUGCGGUAUUGAUUGAACUUGGCGAUCUAGAGCAAGUUAUUUUCUCCUCCACUGUCUCUCCAGCUACAGCAGGGACAAAGACGACAGACAGCCUUUAACCACCCCAAGGAUGUGCAGUAAACAAAAUGAUGUAUGGACACAUUCUUAGGAGAAAGUGGAAGAAGUUGGUAUUCAGAGAGUCAGGAGACAGUAGACAGAAGAGGGCCUGAUGGCUGCCUGUUUCUGAUUGGGAAGAGAAACUCCUGAAAGGGACAUCUCUGAAAAGGUGGAACUGAUUCUUCUGAUGCAGGCAUCACUGUGUCAUACUUGUUGCAAUGGCACAGCUCACCAACAUUAGCCUGCAAGACCAUUGUUACUGGAAAUGACCAACACUCACCGCAUCACUGCACUGUGAGAUCCUUUGACUGAACUCUUUACCUGGGGACAUGGUAGGAAGCCAUCUUGGC
rnacentral:lncRNA from 1 species